rnacentral:rRNA from 1 species
GAAGCCGGAAUUGCUAGUAAUGGCAGGUCAGCAUACUGCCGUGAAUACGUUCCCGGGCCUUGUACACACCGCCCGUCACACCAUGAGAGUUGGGGAUACCCGAAGCCUGUGAGCUAACAGUAAUGGAGCAGCAGUCGAAGGUAGAAUCAAUGAUUGGGGUGAAGUCGUAACAAGGUACC